rnacentral:lncRNA from 1 species
AGAAGAAGAUUUCUAGUAGUCAAGCAACUAGAAUUACAAUUUAGAUAAUUACAAGAAUGAAGCAUCAAGCAUGGCUGCUGUUUAAGAAAUAGGGCAUGUGGAAGAUGGCAUUUACCGGCACUUUAUAAAAGUGAUGACAAGAACACGUCUAGGAUUAGAAAACUGCAGUAGAGAUAUAAGGAUCACUCUGAGCCUGAUGGUACUAGUGAAAACAACAAGUGAGUAUAAAGAUGUUGGUAAAAUAUUUUAAAAAGUCAUUCCCUAUUUAUUUUUUCAUUUGUGGAAUUAUUUAAAUCAUUCCCUGUUUAUUUUCUCAUUUGGGAAAUCAAAACAAUAUAUAAUCUUCAUGUUCAGUUAAAUGAAAUGUAAAUGCAUUUGAACAGGUAGUUAUUUAUGGAAGUUUUAAGAAAAUCGAAAAAAGCACGUCACCUCACAUGCCUAGUUAUUUGAUACUCAAGAUGAACCACAUGCUUGUUAUUUCUGCGACAAAUUGAAAAAAGCGAGGAAAAUGGCUGCUGUUUCAGAAGACCUAGUCUUCCCAUGCUUGUUAUUUCUGCUACAAAUUCUUUCAUCCCCUGUUGCGAAUUAUGACCAAUUCACUUUAUAGCAACUUCUAGCCCUAGGCUAGACAUUAACCCCUGUAAACUCUUCCAAAUCCUCCCGACCCUACAAGGUUUUCUCUCGAGAACCCUUGGUGGCAGGGGCUAGCUCAGCAUAUUUAAAUCUACGAGCACCGCAUUGAAUUUCCCAAUCUUCUAACAUCUCACUGAUAGGUCCCGAUCAAAUACAGAAAAGCAAUGCCUGAUAUUUGUUCAGUUUAUGGUAUGAACAACCAGUAUUUGUUUAACUAAUUUUCUUUCCUUUUAUUCGUCUUGGUUGCUACUUAUUUAUACAGAAAAACAUAAAGGAUACUACUAACUUGUAGCCCAAAAUCUUGGCUCCAGCCACAUCAAAUCCUUAUUAACAACUAGAUAAAAACAAAACAGAAAAAUAAACUAACUUUUCCGCAACAACUUGGACGUAGACUUUUACUCCAAUAUCAAUUCCUCCCGUGCUCUUGUUCCAACUAACUCGCAUGAAAGAGUUACGUGGGAGAAUGAUUGCAUGGUUUGCAUGGGCAUGGUUUGCAUGGUCAAACAAAGUCCACAAGCUUGCUGCUAGGCUUUGAAACUCUAGCUGACCUCCUUGGUUGUCUAACAAUGCCCCCGCCAGGAAGAGAACCCUUGUCCUCAAGGGUCAUAGAUGGAAACUGCUGCUGGAUCACGGUUAAAUCUUCCCACGUAGCCUCCUCUGUCGGCAAUUUGUUCCAACGUACUAGACUCUGUUCAAUGAAUUUCCCGCCACGUUUUAACCAUCGUGUGUCUAAAAUUUCAGCAGGUUCAAGCAUUAGCACACCCUCAUCAUCAAUUGGAGGAAUGUCGCUGCUAUUCUCGGAUAAGUCUCCCAUGGCUUUUUUGAGCAAGGACACAUGGAACACGGGAUGAACACGGGCACCGGCAGGCAACUGUAGUUUGUAGGCGACGGUCCCGAUUUUUUCCAAAACACGAUAGGGCCCAAAAAACUUGCUUGCUAACUUUUGAUGCGCCCGCUUAAACACAGAGGUUUGUCGAUACGGGUGAAGUUUUAAAAACACCAAAUCAUCUUUGUGAAACUGCACAUCUCUACGGUGUUUAUCUGCUGUUUGUUUCAUGCGAUUGGUGGCAAUCGCCAAAUUACGCUUGAGCUGGGCUAGUAACUCAUCUCUGGUCAACAGUGCUUUAUCAACCUCGUUGACCGGUGAGGUGCCCACAUGAUAUUGCGGAACUGUGGGAGGGUCCCGGCCAUACAGUGCCUUGAAAGGUGUCAUGCCCGUGGAUAUGUGAUAUGUCGUGUUAUACCAAUAUUCAGCCCAAGGUAGAUAUUCAUGCCACUUACGCGGCCACUGAUGAACAAAACUCCGUAGGUACUGCUCGAGACAUCGGUUAAUUACCUCGGUCUGGCCGUCGGAUUGUGGGUGAUAAGCCGAACUCAUGCUGAGUUUUGUACCUGACAUUUUGAAAAACUCCUGCCAAAAUUUGCUGAUGAAGAUUGGAUCUCGAUCACUCACAAUAGAUUUUGGCAUGCCAUGCAACUUGAAUAUGCCUUCUAUGAACCGUUCGGCCACUAUCUUUGCUGAGAAGGGGUGAGACAAAGACAUGAAGUGUGCUGACUUGCUGAGUCUAUCGACGACAACGAAGAUGGUGUUCUUGCCUUGUGACAUCGGUAACCCUUCAAUAAAAUCCAACGUAAUGUCAUCCCAAACUUGGCACGGUAUGGGCAGUGGCUGAAGUAGCCCGGCUGGUCUGAGAGUGGUGGCUUUUGUGCGUUGGCAAGUCUCACAAUUAUUAACGUAUUGCUGUACCGUACGAAACAUGGCCGGCCAAUAGAACUGUUGUGCCAACCUCUUAUAAGUACGCAAGACUCCAGAAUGGCCUCCGAUUCUAGUGUUGUGGGCUUCAAACAUCAAUUUGUCACGUAUCUGGUGAGGGACCACAACCCGCCCAUUAUAGAAAACUAAUCCAUUCUUUGUUGUGUACGGUCCCGUUGGUUGAGUUUCAGCAAGUGUAGUAACUUGUUGAAUGUAAUCGUCACCUGUUGCAGCUGUCUUAAUUUCUUCCCAAACAGUUACCUGCGGCACAAAUAAGUAAUUCAUCAUUGGGCUGUCCGGUCGUCGCGAGAGGGCGUCAGCGGCAGUGUUGUCCCGCCCCGGCCGAUAUAGGAUUUCAUAUUCAUAGCCCAUGAGCUUUGCCAACCACUUUUGUUGCUCAGGGGUUGCCGCUUUUUGUUCCAAUAGGUACUUAAGACUCUGCUGGUCAGUUUGGAUUAUAAAUUUCUGCCCCAAAAUAUACGGUCUCCACAUUCGUAUUGCUUCAAGUAUGGCCAGCAUUUCCUUGGCGUAAAUAGACCAAGAUUUUUUUGAGACCCCUAAUGCACGGCUCAUAAAUGCAAUUGGCCUGCCCUGUUGUUGCAGAACAGCCCCAAUUCCGUCUCCUGAUGCAUCUGCUUCGAUAAUAAAAGUGUCUUGGAAGUUUGGCAUAGCCAAUGUGGGGGUGCUGGACAUUGCUUGUUUGAGUCUCCGAAAGGCUUCUUCUGCCUCAUCACUCCAGCCAAAUUGAUUUUUUUUUAGUAAGUUGGUUAAGGGCCGAGCAAUGACGCCAUAUCCUUGCACAAACUUUCGGUAAUAUCCGGUUAAUCCGAGAAAUCCUCGCAGCUCUGUUAUGGUUUGUGGCGCGGGCCAAGAGAGCAUGGCAGCAAUUUUUUUGUUGUCUACUUUGACGCCGUGACACGUGACAAUAUGCCCUAAGUACUCGAGUUCCUGCUGUCCGAAUGUGCAUUUGCUGGAUUUGAGAAAAAACUUAUGUUGCUUGAGAAUCUCCAUUGCCUGUUUCACAUGAUCAAGAUGACUGUCCCAAGUCGGACUGUAAAUCAGUAUGUCAUCAAAAAAAACCAAAAUAAACUUCCUGAGAUGUGGCCGAAAAAUGGAGUUCAUGAUCGCCUGAAAGGUUGACGGCGCAUUGCAUAAUCCGAAUGGCAUGACUAGAUAUUCGUAGUGGCCAUUGUGGGUACGGAAUGCGGUCUUGUGAAUAUCCGAUGGAUUGACUCGAACUUGAUGGUAACCGGCACGGAGGUCGAGCUUCGUAAAAUAGGCGGCUCCGUAGAGCUCGUCGAUCAUAUCGUCGACUGUUGGAAUUGGAAACCGGUCCUUGAUGGUGGCGUCGUUGAGGGCGCGGUAAUCUGUGCAAAACCUCCAGCUUCCAUCUUUUUUUUUGACAAGUAAUACCGGCGACGAGAAAGGACUGGUGCUGGGCCUUAUUAAUCCAGAAUUAAGCAUCUCCUGCACCUGUUUUUCUAUUUCUUCUUUUUGGAAGUGUGCAUAACGAUAGGGCCUGACGUUGAUAGGCUCUGUUCCCUCUUUAAGUGUGAUACAAUGGUCAAUUUCGCGCUUAGGAGGAAGUUGAGUUGGUUCCUGAAAUAGCUCCCUGUAAUUUCGUAAAAGCCCCUGCAUUGCCGCUUGUGCCGUGACCUCUUCCAAUUGUAAUUGGAAGCAAAUUGCAAAUGCCUCGUGUCCCUGUUUAAUCUCCUUAUUAAUCUCCGCUAUUGUCGCCGUUUGUAGAGAUUGAGGAUUGAGCCCUUGUAGAUGUCGUGGCCUAUUGUUCCAAUUGAAAUUCAUAGUGAGAGAUUUCCAGUUGCAUUCUACUGUUCCCAAUUCUUCGAGCCACUGUAUUCCCAAUACCAAAUCUAAUCCUGAUAUGGGCAGUGCGUAGACCGUUAGAAAAAAUGGAAUAUCUUGGAUUAGAAUUUGUAUAUUCUCAAACUUCCCUUGACACGCCAAUUUUUCACCAUUUGCAACUUUGACAGGAAACGCAGCCGUUGGUAUAAUAGGGAGUUUCAGCAAGUUUGCUAGGCGGGUGCUAAUAAAAUUAUGUGUUGAUCCACUGUCAAUCAACACAAUAAUUUCAUAUGGCCCGAUUUUCGCCUUAACGCGCAUCGUUUGUGGUGCCGUCCAGCCGGUUAAGGCAUAGAAGGUGAUCUUGGGAUCGUAGGAUGCUUCCUCAAUUGGCGCCGCGUCGAGAGUUUCCUCAUAUUCUUCCUCGGCUUCUAAGAUUAGAAGUUGAGCUUUAGUACACCGAUGACCUGCCGUGAAUUUCUCAUUGCAGUUGAAGCACAAACCCUGUGCUCGGCGACGUUGCAUCUCCUCCCAAGUAAGCUUCUUGAAUGGUGUUGCCGGUGAGUUCUUAUUGACAAUUGGUGAUGUUGUUGUUGUCCGAUUGGAAAAUGUUGGCCGGAUUAAUUUUCGCUGCCGCGCGAUCUGUUCAUCUUUCAUCCGUGCUAGGCUGAUGGCCUCCUUAAGAGUUUUUGGUCGAAACAAGCGAAUCUCCUCCGAAAUCUCGGGUUUGAGUCCUCCCAUGAAGGUGCCUACUAACGCCCGCUGAGUCCAUCCGUGAACCUUGUUGCCCAGCCUCUCAAACUCCUUUUGAUAAUCUCGCAAUGUUCCAGUUUGUUGCACACGAGAUAAGGCCUCGUCAAAAUCUUCACAUUCCGUCGGUCCGAAACGCGCCCACAUCUCCUCGACAAAUGUGUUCCAUGUUACUGUUUGUCCAUCUUCUUGGUAGGCGCGGCGCAACCAUUGCCACCACUGGUUGGCUUCUCCUUCAAGGUGGUAAGAUGCUAGCACAACUCGUUGGUCCUCACUAGUUUCUUGAUAAUCAAAAAAUUGUGUGACACGGUUGACCCACUCCGUAGGGUCAUCUCCUGAAUAUUUAGGAAAAUCAAGUUUGGCAACUCGUGGGGGAAUCGGUUGUCGUUCCCCUGCACUCUCUCCUUGACUCGUUCGUAACGUGCCUGUUUGAUCGUGCCGGCUUGGGGUUCUUUGGGAUUGGCUAAAUGUCUCAGCUAGUUUGCUGAUCAUGGCCUCCAGGUGGUGAAAUUUGUCAUUCAUUCCCUAACCUAAUCGUUGUAUCUCAUUCUGCAUUCCGCCAAGUUCGUUUUCGACACGUUCAAUUCUCUCUUUGUUGGUAGACAUUGCAAAACUCCUGUCUCUGAUACCAAUGAUAGGUCCCGAUCAAAUACAGAAAAGCAAUGCCUGAUAUUUGUUCAGUUUAUGGUAUGAACAACCAGUAUUUGUUUAACUAAUUUUCUUCCCUUUUAUUCGUCUUGGUUGCUACUUAUUUAUACAGAAAAACAUAAAGGAUACUACUAACUUGUAGCCCAAAAUCUUGGCUCCAGCCACAUCAAAUCCUUAUUAACAACUAGAUAAAAACAAAACAGAAAAAUAAACUAACUUUUCCGCAACAACUUGGACGUAGACUUUUACUCCAAUAUCAAUUCCUCCCGUGCUCUUGUUCCAACUAACUCGCAUGAAAGAGUUACGUGGGAGAAUGAUUGCAUGGUUUGCAUGGGCAUGGUUUGCAUGGUCAAACAAAGUCCACAAGCUUGCUGCUAGGCUUUGAAACUCUAGCUGACCUCCUUGGUUGUCUAACACUCACCGGCAUAUUUAAUUCUAUGUAAGACAUGAAUAGCUCCUGCAAUUAUCAGGAUGACAAAAUCUAUACCAGCUAGAGUGAUACCUACAGAAAAUCCCCUUUUGUGUACCUCCUCAUGAGAUCUUUUUUUUUUUUUUCCAGAGUUGGGACCUUCGUUGGAUUUAAAUCUUGUGCCUUGCCACCUCCAAUGCUAAUGCUCCAGCCAUGCACGUUAUGUGAUGCUGUUAUUAAGCCAGUUGAAGCAGAGAAGCCUCUGUACAUGUACUCAUCUAGCACCAAUGAGAGAUCAAUAGGAAAUGAUAUUAAAGGACGACGAGGCUUUGGUACGCCUAGAGGAGAUUUGGAAACCUUAAUCAACAUCUCCUGGCUGCUAUAAUCAACCCAAGCUCGAAUCGGGUCUCCACUUCUCAGAAGAAUAGGAAUUCUGUGGUUAUUGCCAGAAUAGUAAGAAGCUGGCUCUGAUGCACUGGGGAUGAGGCUUGAUAUUAAUAUUACUCUCAAUAUUACUAGUCACUGGUUAUGUCUCUUAAAAUUUUGA